rnacentral:pre_miRNA from 2 species
UUAUGGUAUCAUGGUUAUUGGUGAUCAUUCAUAGAAUCCCUGCAAUUGUUUUGCAGUUUAUGUGAGGAUUUUACGACGGUCAGCAGAGACCUUUGACAUCAAAUA